UGCUGGAGGUAUCAGAAGUGCGAAUGCUGACAUAAGUAACGAUAAAGCGGGUGAAAAGCCCGCUCGCCGGAAGACCAAGGGUUCCUGUCCAACGUUAAUCGGGGCAGGGUGAGUCGACCCCUAAGGCGAGGCCGAAAGGCGUAGUCGAUGGGAAACAGGUUAAUAUUCCUGUACUUGGUGUUACUGCGAAGGGGGGACGGAGAAGGCUAUGUCAGCCGGGCGACGGUUGUCCCGGUUUAAGCAUGUAGGCGGAGGUUCCAGGUAAAUCCGGUACCUUGUUAACGCUGAGGUGUGAUGACGAGGCACUACGGUGCUGAAGUGAUAAAUGCCCUGCUUCCAGGAAAAGCCUCUAAGCAUCAGGUAACACGAAAUCGUACCCCAAACCGACACAGGUGGUCAGGUAGAGAAUACCAAGGCGCUUGAGAGAACUCGGGUGAAGGAACUAGGCAAAAUGGUGCCGUAACUUCGGGAGAAGGCACGCUGAUGUGUAGGUGAAGUCCCUGCGGACGGAGCUGAAAUCAGUCGAAGAUACCAGCUGGCUGCAACUGUUUAUUAAAAACACAGCACUGUGCAAACACGAAAGUGGACGUAUACGGUGUGACGCCUGCCCGGUGCCGGAAGGUUAAUUGAUGGGGUUAGCUGUAAGGCGAAGCUCUUGAUCGAAGCCCCGGUAAACGGCGGCCGUAACUAUAACGGUCCUAAGGUAGCGAAAUUCCUUGUCGGGUAAGUUCCGACCUGCACGAAUGGCGUAAUGAUGGCCAGGCUGUCUCCACCCGAGACUCAGUGAAAUUGAACUCGCUGUGAAGAUGCAGUGUACCCGCGGCAAGACGGAAAGACCCCGUGAACCUUUACUAUAGCUUGACACUGAACACUGGUCCUUGAUGUGUAGGAUAGGUGGGAGGCUUUGAAGCGUGGACGCCAGUCUGCGUGGAGCCGUCCUUGAAAUACCACCCUUUAAUGGCUGGUGUUCUAACGUAGACCCGUAAUCCGGGUUGCGGACAGUGUCUGGUGGGUAGUUUGACUGGGGCGGUCUCCUCCCAAAGAGUAACGGAGGAGCACGAAGGUUGGCUAAUCCUGGUCGGACAUCAGGAGGUUAGUGCAAUGGCAUAAGCCAGCUUGACUGCGAGCGUGACGGCGCGAGCAGGUGCGAAAGCAGGUCAUAGUGAUCCGGUGGUUCUGAAUGGAAGGGCCAUCGCUCAACGGAUAAAAGGUACUCCGGGGAUAACAGGCUGAUACCGCCCAAGAGUUCAUAUCGACGGCGGUGUUUGGCACCUCGAUGUCGGCUCAUCACAUCCUGGGGCUGAAGUAGGUCCCAAGGGUAUGGCUGUUCGCCAUUUAAAGUGGUACGCGAGCUGGGUUUAGAACGUCGUGAGACAGUUCGGUCCCUAUCUGCCGUGGGCGCUGGAGAAUUGAGGGGGGCUGCUCCUAGUACGAGAGGACCGGAGUGGACGCAUCACUGGUGUUCGGGUUGUCAUGCCAAUGGCACUGCCCGGUAGCUAAAUGCGGAAGAGAUAAGUGCUGAAAGCAUCUAAGCACGAAACUUGCCCCGAGAUGAGUUCUCCCUGAGACUUUAAGUCUCCUGAAGGAACGUUGAAGACGACGACGUUGAUAGGUCGGGUGUGUAAGCGCAGCGAUGCGUUGAGCUAACCGAUACUAAUGAACCGUGAGGCUUAACCUU
rnacentral:rRNA from 1 species